UAAAAAUCAAAGCCGUUGAACUCAUGGACAUAAAAAGUAGAAGAUUCACAGUCUGAGAAUGAGGCUUCACCAGUAAAACGGCCACGACUUCUUGAGAAUACGGAACGGUCCGAGGAAACCAGUCGAUCUAAACAGAAGAGUCGACGUCGGUGCUUCCAGUGCCAAACCAAACUGGAGCUGGUGCAGCAGGAAUUGGGAUCGUGUCGCUGCGGUUAUGUGUUCUGUAUGUUACAUCGCCUCCCCGAGCAGCACGACUGCACAUUCGACCACAUGGGCCGUGGCCGGGAGGAAGCCAUCAUGAAAAUGGUGAAGCUGGACCGGAAAGUGGGGCGCUCCUGCCAGCGCAUCGGGGAGGGGUGCUCCUGAAGGCCAGGCAUGGCCACCACAUGACGCUGUUCUUAGUUCACUAAUGUUAGCCUUAUUUAGGACAAAGUCAGCCAGACACCUUGUACUGGGCACGCGUCAGACUGCAGCCAGUCCGUUUCCUUUCUUUAGCCAGCCAUCCUGGUACUGUAGUUUAGGGGUUGAUGGUGGUUGAAAUUGAUUUCUGGCUGGUUACUAAGGUGCCUGCUAGCCAUUGUAUAAAAUUAAAACAUGAAGAAUAUUUUUUUUUUGAGCAUGGCUAGUGGAUUUAAAACAACACAUACCUGUCACUGCUGGAGUCAAACUUAUAAAAAGCCUUAAGUGGAAAGUGUUCCAGACAGAGACUCUGAGUUAAUAGAGGAGUAGAAGCUGGUGUUAAAGUUCCCACGACGCACAUGGCUUUGCCAGAAACUCUGUUUAAUGAUCGGCCUUUCACCUCUUCACUUAUCCUUAGUCCC
rnacentral:sRNA from 1 species